AACGAACGCUGGCGGCAUGCCUAACACAUGCAAGUCGAACGAGACCAUCGGGACAAGUUGCGCAUGGGGGCGUAACGUGUGGGAAGCGUCCCUUAUGCUCGGAAUAACUCUCUGAAAGGGGUGCUAAUAUCGGAUAAUGUCCUCGGACAAAAGAUAUAGCGCGCUGGUUUGAGCACGCGUUGGAUUAGCUGGUUGGGAGGGUAAAAGCCUACCAAGGAGACGAUCCAUAGCUGGUCUGAGAGGAAGAGCAGCCACACUGGGGCUGUGACACGGCCCAGACUCCUGCGGGAGGCAGCAGAGGGGAAUAUAGGACUACGGGGUGAAGCCUGAUCGAGCAAUGCUGCGUAAGUGAUGAAGGACUGAAAGUUGUAAAGCUCUUUUACCCGGGAUGAUACUGACAGUACCGGGAGAAUAAGCUCCGGCUAACUCCGUG
rnacentral:rRNA from 1 species